UACGGGGGGGUAAGCGUUGUUCGGAAUUACUGGGCGUAAAGGGCUCGUAGACGGCCAACUAAGUCAUACGUGAAAUCCCUCAGCUUAACUGGGGAACUGCGUGUGAUACUGGAUGGCUUGGAUUUGGGAGAGGGAUGCGGAAUUCCAGGUGUAGCGGUGAAAUGCGUAGAUAUCUGGAGGAACACCGGUGGCGAAGGCGGCGACCUGGACAGCAACUGACACUCAACUACGAAAGCGUGGGUAGCAAACAGG
rnacentral:rRNA from 1 species